ensembl:lncRNA novel transcript
UUUUUUUUUUUUUUAACGAAGAAGUGAGUAUUUUAUUAUUUUGCUGUACAGCUGUUGCUUCACUAUAUAAAAACAGCACCAGCAAAUGCAGUGUAUUGCAAAAUUAAGAUAGUGUUGUUCUUCAUCUGACACUGUACAAGCAACAAAAACUUCUUCACUCCCAGUUAUUUCCAAUGGAAAGAUCAUUAAGUAUUUCAUCCCAAGUCCAGGUAUGGACAUACACAAGUUACAAUAUUAUAUAAGGCUUAAGAAUAACAACAUUAUCUUUGAAUUAUGUAAUUUUUGUAACUAAUUUUUACCAUGGAUAAUUUCAUGGAUAAUUUCAUGAAUACUAGAGCCUAGUCUAAAAAUCAUAGGAUGUUGUGAAAAAGACACAUAUUAUGUUUAUCUACAAUCAUUAGAAAGUUAAAAGGCAUCUUCUUUCAUUAGCAGUGUUAACAGUAGUUUUUUUUUCCCAUGGGUAAUGCUAAAAGUUGCUAUUCUAAGUCUUCUAUCCACCACUAAUUUAGGACAACUCUGCUGGGUUGCGUUAUUUCAUACUAGCUUAUUUAGUGGUUCCAUUUUCACUCCUCAAUAGAUUUUAUGUAUUUCUCAUAUGCUUCUUCACUCAUAAGUUCAUCUAGUUAUGAAGGGUUACUCAGUGUCAUCUUGAUCAGCCAACCAUCUUCAUAACGAGAUUUGUUUACAAGUCCUGGAUUUUCUGCAAGAGCUUCAUUAAUUUCGGUUACUUCUCCUGAUAAAGGAGAAUAGAGUUCACUAGCAGCUUUCACACUCUCCAAAGCACCAAACUCAUCUUGUUUGUUCAAUUUUGUCCCAACUUCAGGCAGAUUACAGUAACCAGACGGCGCCCAUCCCAAGCUGCCAGGGCCUCGAUAGGCAGGGCGCGGCAGGUGCCAGGACCACGUGCAGGCUGCAGAGCACGGCCCGCACGCUCCGCACCACUCGCAGCGCCAUGUUCCCAGGGGUGCGGGGAUGGCAGCGCUACGCCUCAGCCACUCGCGCGGGGAGGCGGGGCGGUGUGGGCAGAAGUAAAUUUCUUUAUAAAUUACCCAGUCUGGGCCUGGUGUGUUGGCUCACAUGUGUAAUUCCAGAACUUUGGGAGGUCAAGGUGGGAGGAGCGCCUGGGCCCAGGGGUUCAAGACGAGCCUGGGCAACAUAGUGAGACCUGUCUCUAUAAAAUAUUUUUAAAAAUUAGCUGGGCGCGGUGACAAAUUUUGUGCAAUUUUAAGUUUUACAUUUUUUUGUACAAAUAGGAUCUUGCUAUGCAGUCCAGGCUGGUCUUGAACUCCUGGCCUCAACUGAUCUUCCUGCCUUGAACCCCCAAAAUGCUGGGCUUACAGGUGUGAGCCACUGCACCUGCUGUUUUUAAAGAUAUUGUAACAUACUAUUAUUCUAAAACCUUAUCCUUUGU